CACAAAUACACGUAUUAAGACUUAUUGUGGAGCUUCAGGACAGAAGAAAGUCAGAGGUCAUCCAUCAUGGCCAGCAGGUCGUCUCCUUUACUGCUGCUCAGAUUUAAAGGCGGAUCUUCUUCUUCCGCAAACUGUCCGGCGAUCCGAGCCAGUUCAGUCGUUACCUGUUCAUCCUGAUUCAAACAAAUACACAAACAGAUAAACUGUCGCAUUAAGAUGCAACAGGUGGUGAGGAAGAGGAUCAGCAGAGGCCGGACACAAGCUUAUUGGCCAGGAAAAGGGUGACGUGGCAGCACAGCAAAACCAACUAAAGAAGGCAAAUGACUGGGUAUAUGUUACACUUUUGUAUAGGACGACAUUGUGCUGUAGGAGUGUUGAUGGUAUAAUGCAAACAUAAAAGUAAAAUUGUAUGUUAUUACACUUCAUGGCCAAAUGAAUGCAGUAAAAUGAACAGUACAAGUACACAGUAUGUGGUUAGCAUUUAAAGGAAUAGUUUGACAUUUUUGACAGCUUAGCUUGGCAUAGACUCAAGUAUUUUGUGCUGCAUGGCAACCUCAAGGGAUGACAAGGUUUCAGGAAUUAACUGCGCCCAGUCAGAGGAAAGUCCCUUUUCUUACCUUUGUAAAAGUCCAGGCUACAGUUUUCCCUAUUCUCAUUAAGAAAGUGAAUAUGUGCUUUUCUGAUACAAUUGCGUAAAGAUUUGUUCAAACUAACUGUAAAUAAACAGCCCCUUACAAAAACUAUCCAAAUGUAUGUCA